GACGAACGCUGGCGGCGUGCUUAACACAUGCAAGUCGAGCGGUAAGGCCCUUUCGGGGGUACACGAGCGGCGAACGGGUGAGUAACACGUGGGUGACCUGCCCUCAGCUCUGGGAUAAGCCUGGGAAACCGGGUCUAAUACUGGAUAUGACUCCAUGACGCAUGUUGUGGGGUGGAAAGCCUUGUGCGGCUGAGGAUGGGCCCGCGGCCUAUCAGCUUGUUGGUGGGGUGANGGCCUACCAAGGCGACGACGGGUAGCCGGCCUGAGAGGGCGACCGGCCACACUGGGACUGAGACACGGCCCAGACUCCUACGGGAGGCAGCAGUGGGGAAUCUUGCGCAAUGGGCGAAAGCCUGAACGCAGCGACGCCGCGUGAGGGAUGGACGG
rnacentral:rRNA from 1 species